rnacentral:rRNA from 1 species
GACGAACGCUGGCGGCGUGCUUAACACAUGCAAGUCGAACGGAAAGGCCCUGCUUUUGUGGGGUGCUCGAGUGGCGAACGGGUGAGUAACACGUGAGUAACCUGCCCUUGACUUUGGGAUAACUUCAGGAAACUGGGGCUAAUACCGGAUAGGAGCUCCUGCUGCAUGGUGGGGGUUGGAAAGUUUCGGCGGUUGGGGAUGGACUCGCGGCUCAUCAGCUUGUUGGUGGGGUAGUGGCUUACCAAGGCUUUGACGGGUAGCCGGCCUGAGAGGGUGACCGGCCACAUUGGGACUGAGAUACGGCCCAGACUCCUACGGGAGGCAGCAGUGGGGAAUAUUGCACAAUGGGCGGAAGCCAGAUGCAGCAACGCCGCGUGCGGGAUGACGGCCUUCGGGUUGUAAACCGCUUUCGCCUGUGACGAAGCGUGAGUGACGGUAAUGGGUAAAGAAGCACCGGCUAACUACGUG